UACGUAGGGUGCAGGCGUUAAUCGGAAUUACUGGGCGUAAAGCGUGCGCAGGCGGCUUCCUAAGUCAGAUGUGAAAUCCCCGGGCUUAACCUGGGAACUGCGUUUGAAACUGGGAGGCUAGAGUGCGGCAGAGGGGGGUGGAAUUCCACGUGUAGCAGUGAAAUGCGUAGAUAUGUGGAGGAACACCGAUGGCGAAGGCAGCCCCCUGGGCCUGCACUGACGCUCAUGCACGAAAGCGUGGGGAGCAAACAGG
rnacentral:rRNA from 1 species